AUUCCAGCUCCAAUAGCGUAUAUUAAAGUUGUUGCAGUUAAAACGCUCGUAGUCGGAUUUCGGGGCGGGCCGACCGGUCUGCCGAUGGGUAUGCACUGGCCGGCGCGUCCUUCCACCCGGAGACCGCGCCUACUCUUAACUGAGCGGGCGCGGGAGACGGGUCUUUUACUUUGAAAAAAUCAGAGUGUUUCAAGCAGGCAGUCGCUCUUGCAUGGAUUAGCAUGGGAUAAUGAAAUAGGACUCUGGUGCUAUUUUGUUGGUUUCGAACACCGGAGUAAUGAUUAACAGGGACAGUCAGGGGCACUCGUAUUCCGCCGAGAGAGGUGAAAUUCUUAGACCAGCGGAAGACGAACCACUGCGAAAGCAUUUGCCAGGGAUGUUUUCAUCA
rnacentral:rRNA from 1 species